GAUGAACGCUGGCGGCGUGCCUAAUACAUGCAAGUAGAACGCUGAAGGAAGGAGCUUGCUCUUUCCGGAUGAGUUGCGAACGGGUGAGUAACGCGUAGGUAACCUGCCUGGUAGCGGGGGAUAACUAUUGGAAACGAUAGCUAAUACCGCAUAACAGUAGAUGUUGGAUGAUAUCUACUUAAAAGGUGCAAUUGCACCACUACCAGAUGGACAUGCGUUGUAUUAGCUAGUUGGUGAGGUAACGGCUCACCAAGGCGACGAUACAUAGCCGACCUGAGAGGGUGGUCGGCCACACUGGGACUGGGACACGGCCCAGACUCCUACGGGAGGCAGCAGUAGGGAAUCUUCGGCAAUGGACGGAAGUCUGGCCGAGCAACGCCGCGUGAGUGAAGAAGGGUUUCGGAUCGUAAAGCUCUGUUGUAAGGGAAGAACGGGUGUGAGGGUGGAAAGUUCACACUGUGACGGUAUCUUACCAGAAAGGAACGGCUAACUACGUG
rnacentral:rRNA from 1 species